rnacentral:rRNA from 1 species
CCCUUAGAUGUUCUGGGCCGCACGCGCGCUACACUGACGAUGUCAGAGAGUGUCUCCUUCACCGAGAGGUGUGGGUAAUCUUUUAAACAUCGUCGUGCUGGGGAUAGAUCAUUGCAAUUAUUGAUCUUGAACGAGGAAUUCCUAGUAAGCGCGAGUCAUCAGCUCGCGUUGAUUACGUCCCUGCCCUUUGUACACACCGCCCGUCGCUACUACCGAUUGAAUGGUUUAGUGAGGCCUUCUGACUGGCGCCGAUGCUCUGGCAACAGCGCGCCGGAUGCCGGAAAGUUGGUCAAACUUGAUCAUUUAGAGGAAGUAAAAGUCGUAACA